rnacentral:piRNA from 1 species
UUUUUUUUACUGAAUCUUUUU